AAGACUAUAGACCUGCGGAGUACCUGCGGAAGGAUCAUACCGAGUGCGGGCCCUCUGGGUCCAACCUCCCACCCGUGUUUAUUGUACCUUGUUGCUUCGGCGGGCCCGCCAUUCUGGCCGCCGGGGGGCUUGCCCCCGGGCCCGCGCCCGCCGAAGACACCCUCGAACUCUGUCUGAAGAUUGUAGUCUGAGUGGAAUUAUAAAUUAUUAAAACUUUCAACAAUGGAUCUCUAGAUCGGA
rnacentral:misc_RNA from 1 species